rnacentral:rRNA from 1 species
CCCUUAGAUGUUCUGGGCCGCACGCGCGCUACACUGAUGCAUUCAACGAGCCUAUCCUUGACCGACAGGUCCGGGUAAUCUUUGAAUCUGCAUCGUGACGGGGAUAGAUUAUUGCAAUUAUUAAUCUUCAACGAGGAAUGCCUAGUAGGCGCAAGUCAUCAGCUUGCGUCGAUUACGUCCCUGCCCUUGUACACACCGCCCGUCGCUCCUACCGAUUGGGUGUGCUGGUGAAAUGUUCGGAUCGGCCGUUUGUCGCGGUUUCCGCGGCUCGUGGCUGAGAAGUUCAUUAAACCCUCCCACCUAGAGGAAGGAGAAGUCGUAACA